rnacentral:rRNA from 1 species
CACACUGCCGAGAAAAGCCUCUAGAUAGAAAAUAGGUGCCCGUACCGCAAACCGACACAGGUAGUCAAGAUGAGAAUUCUAAGGUGAGCGAGCGAACUCUCGUUAAGGAACUCGGCAAAAUGACCCCGUAACUUCGGGAGAAGGGGUGCUCUUUAGGGUUAACGCCCAGAAGAGCCGCAGUGAAUAGGCCCAAGCGACUGUUUAUCAAAAACACAGGUCUCUGCUAAACCGUAAGGUGAUGUAUAGGGGCUGACGCCUGCCCGGUGCUGGAAGGUUAAGAGGAGUGGUUAGCUUCUGCGAAGCUACGAAUCGAAGCCCCAGUAAACGGCGGCCGUAACUAUAACGGUCCUAAGGUAGCGAAAUUCCUUGUCGGGUAAGUUCCGACCCGCACGAAAGGCGUAACGAUUUGGGCACUGUCUCAACGAGAGACUCGGUGAAAUCAUAGUACCUGUGAAGAUGCAGGUUACCCGCGACAGGACGGAAAGACCCCGUGGAGCUUUACUGUAGCCUGAUAUUGAAAUUCGGCACAGCUUGUACAGGAUAGGUAGGAGCCUUUGAAACGUGAGCGCUAGCUUACGUGGAGGCGCUGGUGG